rnacentral:tRNA from 1 species
UAGGGUAUAGCAUAACCCGAAUGUAUUUCGCUUACACCGAAAAGAUACUUUAAAUUGAGUUACCCUAA